rnacentral:rRNA from 1 species
AUGGAUUUAGAUUUCAGUUUGCAACUCUGGACGUUCAACCUCGCCGGCCCGCGUGACUCUGCGUUAGCAUUCCGGUCCAAAUACCAGUCAAUUUGCUUCUCAUCCAUCAGUCUCAGAUUGUUGCAUGCACAGUUCAGUGGUCGAUCAACAAGGAUGUUCACAAUAAAUGAAGCAAGGUAUCAUGACUAUAUGAGACAAGAAAGUCUCAUGGAGCAGGUUAUAGUAAUGCACAUGAUACAGCUGAUCAGGCAAGUUGUAAUAGACAAAACUCAAGAACAUAUCAGUUUUGAAUCUGAAAACACAAUGUAUAUGCCAACUGAUUGUUUGCUGCUACCCAAGAUAUGCUUGAAACUGCAGCGCAUCUUGGCCAUGUUCACUGCUGGGUUCCUUCCAGCUCACCAAGCCCAAACCACCCGCAUCCAGACGCCCCUCCGCCGACAAAAAGGGCCGCGGCCGCCGCGCUUCUGUUGCUUAGCAUGUGUCCCAGCAACCAACGUCCGGUGCGCUCUGUUUGCAUGCCGGAUUGUCCGCAAGAGAAGCAGAGAGAAAGGUGGUUCAUCUCAGAACAAUGCGUUUGUUGUUUGCCUCCAAGAUACCAAGCUAGACUUUGUUCAUUAUAGGCUUGUUGCUGAAAUUUUGGGGCCUGCUUUUGCUGAUAAUUUUGGCUUCCUUUCGGCGGACGGCACUAGAGGUGGGAUUCUUCUUGCUGCUUCCCAGGAUUUCUUCAAACUGUCACACUUUGCACACUAUCUCAGCCACCAUUUGCGCCUCAUCAACGCUUUCAGAGCUGCUCUGAACUUGAUGGAGGUCUCUGAAUUGCGGCUGCAUGGAAGGCGUUUCAUUUGGACUGGCACCUGUCAGCAGCAACCCGAAACCAAGAUCGAUCAUGUUUUUCACACCGCUGAGUGGGGUCUUCUAUUCCCCCAGUGCCUCCUCCAGGCCGUUACUUCUUCUGUCUCGGACCACUGUGCUAUGAUCCUGACGGGGCAGCUCAGCUGUGCAACCUUCAAGGGCUUCCGUUUUGAAUAUGUUCAUGUGCGAUGCUGCUCGUAUUCUCCACUUCAAGCUGUCAAGGACUCAAGGUUGGUCAAGGCUCUUCACAUCUGGAGCAGGGCUUGCGUUGAGGAUUACUGUCCGACCAGUCUGAUACACUCUGCAAAAAAAUUGUGCAACUUACUCGCCAACCGCCUUACUCCUUGCCUGCAUGACAUCAUCCCCAACUCCCAGAGCGCUUUCAGCAAGCGGAGCAUGAUUUAUGAUAAUAUCCUAUAUGUCAGAAAUGUUGUCCGGCGUCUCCACAAGACAAAAUGCCAUGCCCUUCUUCUCAAGCUUGAUAUUGCGGGUGAUUUCGAUUCGGAUUCUUGGGAGUUCCUUCUUGAGCUUUUUGCCGAAGCUGCUGCUUCACAUGUGCUGUCUGACCUCAACCUACCUCCAUCAAACUUGAGAGUGAGCCUAUAUGCAGACGACACAGCUCUAUUCAUGAAGCCCUCGGCCGAUGAUAUCACUACCACCAGCCAGCUCCCGCUGCUCCCCGGCCUUAGAGUCCAGAAAAGUGCAAUAAAUCCUAGGAGUAUUAGCUACACAGAUAUUGAUCUGCAUCAACGCCUACAGGAAUUCCCGGUCCCUAUCUGCAACUUCCCAUGCAAGACUUUGGGCUACCCCUACACUUCAAGAAGAUUUCCAGGGGUGACCUGCAGCCCAUCAUUGAUAAAAUGGCUUCAAAGCUGCAGCUUUGUGGCACUGAGCUUCCCAGUGACAAGGAUGACUCUUGUUCGACGCCUCCAACUCUGUUCAGCGGGGCAAUGGCAGGAAGCGAACUUCUGGAACUCCCAUUGGCUUUAUAGUCAGGUUCCUCGGCUUCUUGCUCCUGAUCUCUUCCAACUUCGCCCUCGGAAGAACAUCUCAGUGGCUGACGGUUUGAACAGUGGGAGAUGGAUGCGUGGCUUCCACAGAAUCGUCAACGCCAAUCAGCUUCGACAGUUAGCAAAUCUUCUUGCUCCUGAUCUUUUUCUUUGUUACAAGUUCUGUAACUUGAACUAUUUCCCUCCUAUGUAA